GCAAAAUUGACAAAAAUGACCCCUGGGGCGAAAGAACUCACGGAUUGACCCCGCGGGGGAAAAAAUUCACCGCCCUGACCCUUUUGUGUGGCGCCCGACACCUAGGCGCCACACUGUACUGUGUGACGCCUAGGUGUUCGGCGCCACACCCCCGACCACGUGGCAGGGAGGGGGCCACCCCCCAGGCAGUGUGACGCCUAAGCCUCAGGCGUCACACAUUGUAAUGUGUGGCGCCU
rnacentral:lncRNA from 1 species